rnacentral:rRNA from 1 species
UAGGGAAUCUUCGGCAAUGGGGGGAACCCUGACCGAGCAACGCCGCGUGAGUGAAGAAGGUUUUCGGACCGUAAAGCUCUGUUGUUAAGGAAGAACGAGUGUGAGAAUGGAAAGUUCAUACUGUGACGGUACUUAACCAGAAAGGGACGGCUAACUACGUGCCAGCAGCCGCGGUAAUACGUAGGUCCCGAGCGUUGUCCGGAUUUAUUGGGCGUAAAGCGAGCGCAGGCGGUUAGAUAAGUCUGAAGUUAAAGGCAGUGGCUCAACCAUUGUAGGCUUUGGAAACUGUUUAACUUGAGUGCAGAAAGGGAGAGUGGAAUUCCAUGUGUAGCGGUGAAAUGCGUAGAUAUAUGGAGGAACACCGGUGGCGAAAGCGGCUCUCUGGUCUGUAACUGACGCUGAGGCUCGAAAGCGUGGGUAGCAAACAGG